UAUCUCCUGCGGUGUUUGACAGUGGGCUGGGUGUUUCCUGAACCUAUAUUACCCCAGGGUGCUGAUGUUAGUCAUGGUGUGCAUGCCCGACAUGUCGAGAAGCCUGAUUGCCUAACCGUGCUCCCACUUGAACCAUUGGUUCAAGGACGAAAGCUUGCAUCGGCAUUAGUGGGAGAUGC
rnacentral:other from 1 species